AUGGGGCCUGGAGGUCCGGGGGGGGGGGGGAGGGGGAGGAGGAGGGGGACCUGGAGGCGGUUUUGGACCAGGUGGAUUUGGCCCCGGACCAGGUGGAUUCGGCCCUGGACCAGGAGGUCCGGGGGGAGGGGGACCUGGAGGCGGUUUUGGACCAGGUGGAUUCGGCCCUGGACCAGGCGGUUUUGGCCCCGGACCAGGUGGUUUUGGACCAGGUGGUUUUGGCCCUGGACCAGGUGGUUUUGGACCAGGUCCAUGGGGAAUGGGACCUCCUCCUAUGCUUGGAAAUUACUGGGGAGGUGGUUUUGGGGGCUGGGGUGGCGGAUUCGGGGGUUGUAUAUAUGAUAUCUUGCAGUGCUUGUGUUGUUGCUGGCUGUUAGAGAUGUGCUGUGGAGGAUGCUGCCCACCAUUUGGAGGAGGUCCACCACCUCCUUAUUACUGAAUUGCUAUUUCUGCUAAAUUUUAGAGUGUCGCUAAAAUAAGAUAUACAUUUUCUUUUGCGGGCUGUGCAUCUCUUCAGAGGAACGUGCAGUUUUGAAACUGAUAUACUUAUUUAUCUCUCAACUUUUGAUGUUUAAAAUUUUCAGAACUUUAACAUGUGAGAUAAUGUGAAAAGAUUUUCGAGGAA